GAUGGUGUAGCUCAGCGGCAGAAUGCGUAUAACAUGUGCAAGAGUCCUGGGUUCAAUUCCCAGCACCACCA
rfam:Ictidomys tridecemlineatus contig044467, whole genome shotgun sequence.